GUAUGAAUGGUUAAACGAGGGCUUAACUGUCUCCCAUUUCCAGUCAGUGAAAUUGAUCUACCCGUGCAGAAGCGGGUAUAAAUAUACAAGACGAGAAGACCCUUUGGAGCUUAAGGUACAAAACUCAACCACGUCAAUCAACUCAAUAAAAAGCAACUUUUUACUAAACCUUAUGACAAAUGAGACUAUACCUUCGGUUGGGGCGACCAAAGAGGAAAAGAAAGCCUCCAAGUGGACUGGGUCAACACCCUAAAACUAAAAGAGACAUCUCUAAGCCACAGAACAUCUGACCAUAAAUGAUCCGGUCAAUUAAGACCGAUGAACAAACCAAGUUACCCUAGGGAUAACAGCGCAAUCCCCUCCCAUAGUCCAUAUCGACG
rnacentral:rRNA from 1 species